UACAGGGGGUGCAAACGUUGCUCGGAAUCAUUGGGCGUAAAGCGCACGUAGGCGGUUCGUUAUGUCGGAUGUGAAAGCCCUUGGCUUAACCGAGGAAGUGCAUCCGAAACUGGCGAGCUAGAGUACGAAAGAGGAUCGCGGAAUUCCCGGUGUAGAGGUGAAAUUCGUAGAUAUCGGGAGGAACACCGGUGGCGAAGGCGGGUCUCUGGGCCAUUACUGACGCUGAGGAGCGAAAGCGUGGGGAGCGAACAGG
rnacentral:rRNA from 1 species